CCACGAUUCGGCGGCUGUCUGGGCGGUUGUUAGGGGGUGGGGGAAGCGGACAAGGUGAUCCGGGGGUUCGGCGGGCUUUCAUCGCGCUUGGAAGCCGAAGCGGCUGCAAACGCCGGGCGGGAUCAUGGCGAAGGAGGAAGACAAGGGCGAGAUGAAGGUCCCCGAGGAGAUGUUCAAGGAUGUCAAGUUCUUCGUGGUGGGAGACAUCGACUCCAAGGUUAUUCAACUUCUGAAAGAUGGGAAGGCAAAGGAAGUUUCCUAUAACGCUCUAGCUUCACACAUCAUUUCAGAAGAUGGGGAUAAUCCAGAAGUUGGUGAAUCUCGUGAAGUGUUUGAUCUUCCAGUAGUAAAACCUUCCUGGGUGACUUUGUCUGUUCAGUGUGGAGCUCUUCUGCCAGUAAAUGGCUUUUCUCCAGAAUCCUGUCAGAUCUUUUUUGGAGUUGCUGCUUGUCUGUCUCAGGUAUCCUCUGAAGAUCGGACUAUGUUGUGGGCUUUGAUUACGUUUUAUGGUGGGGAUUGCCGUUUGAGCCUGAAUAAAAAAUGUACUCAUUUGAUUGUGCCUGAACCAAAAGGGGAAAAAUAUGAAUGUGCCAUUAAACGAGAGAACAUUAAAAUUGUGACACCUGAUUGGAUUCUAGAUUCUAUAGCUGAUAAAACCAAAAAAGAUGAGGUUCCCUAUCACCCCCGUUUAAUAAUAUAUGAGGAAGAAGAGGAAGAGGAAGAGGAGGAGGAAGAAAAUGAAGAACAAGAUUCCCAAAAUGAAGGGAGUACUGAUGAAAAGUUAUCAAGUCCACCAUCUUCUCAAGAAGGGUCUCCUUUGGGCAAUCGAACUUUUUCUCCUAAGUCUAUUGAUGCUGACAGAAACAAAGGAGAACUUAUGUUUGAUGAUUCAUCAGAUUCCUCUCCUGAAAAGCAUGAAAGAAAUUUGAACUGGACCACAGCUGAAGUCCCACAGACUGUUGCCAGAAAGCACACAUUGACUCCAGGCAAGGACUCUGGAUUGAUUAAUUUGUGUGCCAAUGUCCCACCUGUCCCAGGCAAUAUUUUGUCCCCUGAUAUCAGAAGUAAUAUAAUGGCUUCAGUACAAACUCCGCAAAGUUCUGGACAUCCUGAAAUGAUGACAACAUGGAGUCCUGCAGUCCGGACACUAAGAAAUAUUACCAAUAAUGCUGAUAUUCAGCAGGUUAAUAGGCAAUCAAAUGUAGCACAUAUCUUGCAGUCACUUUCAGCACCCACAAAAACUUUGGAGCCACAGAUAAACCACAGCCAGCAGGGGCAUCCCAACACAGUCUUGCUUAGCCAGGUCAAACUGGCACCAGAAACACGCUUAGUGCAGCCGCCUCCGCCUCAGCAUCACCAGCCUCAGCAACAGCCGCCACCGCAGCAGCAGCAGCAACAGCAUCACCAUCUCUUGCAUCUCCAAGCCCAGCAGCUCCUGCAGCUGCAACAGUCCCAGCCGCCACAGGCUCAAAUUCCCCAAUCGCCUUUCCAACAGCAGCCGCAUCAGUUUGCCCAACAGCAGCAAGUCCAUCAGCACCAGUUUCCUCAGCAGCAGCAGCCACAGCAGCAGCAGCCACAGCAGCAGCAACAGCAGCAACUCCCCUUCCCUUCCCAACUGGUACACUCCCAGCAACAAAUGCACCGCCCCCCACAACCCAUGCCAUUUCAGCAGUUGCAUCGAUUGCAACAGCAGCACCUGCAGCAGCAGCAGCAGCGGCAGCAACAAUUGCAGCUUCAGCAGCAAAACCUCCAGCAGUUACAGCAGCAGCAUCAGCAGCAACAGCAACUUCAGCAGCAACAACUGCAGCAGCAGCACUUACAACAAAUGCAGCAGCAGCAGCAAAUGCAAAUGCAAAAUCAGACACCACAACACUUGACUCCAACAUCUCAAACACUACACCAUCAAGUUCCAAUUCAGACCCAACAGAAUCCCCAGCAGCAACAACUGCAACAGCACCAACUGUUUGGACAUGACCCAUCUGUAGAAAUUCCUGAAGAAUAUUUCUUACUGGGUUGUGUCUUUGCAAUUGCUGAUUAUCCUGAACAUGUAUCUGAUAAACAUCUGCUGGGAACUUGGAAAAGGGUAAUCCAUAUUCAUGGUGGCACAGUUGAUCCUACACUUACAAGCCGAUGUACACAUCUUCUUUGUGAAAGUCAACUUAGCAAUAUGUAUGCACAGGCUUUGAAAGAAAGGAAAAGAUGCAUCACUGCCCACUGGCUGAAUUCUGUGCUAAAAAAGAAGAAAAUGGUACCACCCCAUCGAGCUCUUCAUUUUCCUGUAGCAUUUCCACCUGGAGGAAAACCAUGUUCUCAGCAUAUAAUUGCUGUAACAGGUUUUGUGGAUGGUGACAGAGGCGAUCUCAAGUUGAUGGCCUACCUAGCAGGAGCAAAAUACACAGGCUAUCUUUGUCGCAGUAACACCAUUCUUAUCUGUAAAGCGCCAACUGGUGUAAAGUAUGAAAAGGCCAAAGAGUGGAGGAUACCUUGCGUUAAUGUACAAUGGCUCUGUGAUAUCUUACUUGGAAAUUUUGAAGCUUUGCGGCAAAUGCAGCACAAUCGAUACACAGUUUUCAAUCUUCAAGAACCCUUUGCUCCUAAUCAGCAUCUAGUUCCAAACCUUCUUGAUGCUUGGAGGGUGCCUUUAAAGGUGUCACCUGAACUUCAAAUGAAUGUGAGAUUACCACUUAAACCAAAGCAGAAUGAACCAGUAAUUCAACCUACAAUCAAGAGGCCAAGAAUUGAAGACUUGCCAACACCUACAAAAAAACUGCCACCAGAAUUGACACCAGUGAUUCUUUUUACAGGAUUUGACCCUAAUCAAGUACAUCAGUACAUAAAGAAAGUCUAUGUUCUUGGAGGUGACGUAGCGGAGUCUGCUCAGAAGUGUACUCAUGUGAUAGCUAGUAAAGUAACCCGCACUGUAAAGUUCCUGACAGCAGUUUCAGUUGCAAAACAUAUUGUAACACCAGAAUGGUUGGAAGAAUGUUACAAGUGUCAGAAAUUUAUAGAAGAACAAAGCUACCUGCUCCGAGAUGCAGAGGCUGAAGUCCUUUUCUGUUUCAGUUUGGAAGAAUCUCUAAAGAGAGCGCAUGCAGCACCACUCUUUAAGGGGAAAUAUUUCUAUAUUACUCCUGGAAUUUGUCCUAGCCUAUAUACUAUGAAAUCUAUUGUGGAGUCGGCAGGUGGCAAGUUGUUAUCUAAACAACCUUCUUUCAGAACAGUUAUGGAACACAAACAAAAUAAGAGCUUGUCAGAGAUUAUCCUUAUUUCUUGUGAAAAUGAUCUACACUUAUGUCGUGAAUACUUUACCAGGAACAUAGGUCCAAAACCUAACUGGAAGAGGUCGAGAUAAUUCAUUUCAUCCAGGACCCUCUGAAGCUGCCAAGCAAUCACCUUUUCUACCACCUUCCCUAAAAGGGAGAAUGGGAAACUAUACGAAAAUUGUCCAGACAGCCUGAAUGCAGUUUCAUUUGAACAUUACAGUUGGCUGUGAUCCAAAAGGACAAUUUUGGGAUAAAUUGUUCUGGCCAUAAGAAACAGUCGAUGCUUGGAACAAUUUUGGUACUGCUAUUUUUCAUUUCAGGGCAGCAAGAAUAGAUAGGAUUGGCAGCCUACAUAACAAUUGACUAUUGGGAUGAUUUUUAAGAGAUUGCUGGAAAAAAAUUCUGAUAGGAAAAAAAUAUUACAGUACCUGCAGACAGUAUUUCCAUUUCAGUCUUACUUUGGCAAAUUCCUUCUGGCCAGAUAAAAUACAGGUAGUCCUAGACUUACAACCAUUCAUUUAGUGAUUGUUCUAAAUUACAGUGGCACUGGAAAAAAUAACUUAGAACCAUUUUCAAAUUCAGAAAUGUUGCAGCAUCUCCAUGGUCAUGUGAUUAAAAUCUGGACGCUUGGCAACUGACACAUAUUUAUGAUGGUUGUAGGGUCCUGGGGUCAUAUCAUCACUUUUUGUGACCUUCUGACAAGCAAAAUCUAUUUGGAAGCUAGAUUCAUCUAUGUUACUAACUUAGCUGCAGUGAUUCACUUAACAGCUGUUGCAAGAAAUGUUGUAAAAUGGAGCAAAGCUCACUAAACUACCUUACUUAUUAAUGGACAUUUUGGGCUCAGUUGUGCUUGUAAGUCAGGAACUGUAUUCUAUUUUCGUGCAUUCUGUAAUGAAAUAUUUCUUUUUUUGUCAUUUUCUUAUUCUGAAAAUGUUGCAAAUUAAAAUUCAAUUAUAUUUCUUUGCA